GCCGAGCAAGGUAUUUUUAAAAGUGUGACUCAUAUAGGGCGAGUGAUUUAGCGGCGCGAUUCGCCCUUAGAGUUUGACCUGGGCUGACACUAACGCUGGGGGGGGGGAGGUUUAGCAUGCAAGUCGAACGAUCUCUUCGGAGAUAGUGGCGGACGGGUGAGUAACGCGUGGGAACCUGCCCCGAGGUACGGAAUAACUCAUGGAAACGUGAGCUAAUACCGUAUGUGACCUGAGGGUGAAAGAUUUAUCGCCUUGGGAGGGGCCCGCGUCGGAUUAGGUAGUUGGUGGGGUAAUGGCCUACCAAGCCUGCGAUCCGUAGCUGGUCUGAGAGGAUGAUCAGCCACACUGGAACUUAGACACGGUCCAGACUCCUACGGGAGGCAGCAGUGGGGAAUAUUGGACAAUGGGGGCAACCCUGAUCCAGCAAUGCCGCGUGCGUGAUGAAGGCCUUAGGGUUGUAAAGCGCUUUCGGCGGGGAAGAUGAUGACGGUACCCGCAGAAGAAGCCCCGGCUAACUCCGUGCCAGCAGCCGCGGUAAUACGGAGGGGGCUAGCGUUGUUCGGAAUUACUGGGCGUAAAGGGCGCGUGGGCGGCGAUUUAAGUUAGGCGUGAAAGCCCCGGGCUUAACCUGGGAACUGCGCUUGAUACUGGAUUGCUUGAGGACGGAAGAGGGUAGUGGAAUUUCCAGUGUAGAGGUGAAAUUCGUAGAUAUUGGGAAGAACACCAGUGGCGAAGGCGACUACCUGGUCCGUUUCUGACGCUGAGCGCGAAAGCGUGGGGAGCAAACAGGAUUAAAUACCCUGGUAGUCCACGCCGUAAACGAUGAGUGCUAGACGUUGGGGAACAUGGUUUCUCGGUGUACAACUAAGCAUAAUCACUCCGCCUGGGGGAGUACGGCGCAGGUUAAACUCAAAGGAUUGACGGGG
rnacentral:rRNA from 1 species